rnacentral:lncRNA from 1 species
GCUUUAUUUAAUAAUUUCUCUAUUUAUGAAUACUUACUGUUUUCUAUGGCAAACUCUCAGGAAUUUUUUCUUCAGUACUAACUGCUAAAAGUUCUGUGGUCCAAAUCAUAACAAUUUCCCAAAUACUUGUGCAGGUUUUCCUAUUUCUCAUUUGUGCUUCCAAUGUUGCUUCUGAAUUUCUGUAUUAAAAGACCUCUCACUUCAAUUCAAUUAUAUAAGCUUAUAUAUAUUAGUAGGUGAGUUCUUUGUCAGCAACUAAGUUUCUAAAACACUCUAGACUCCUAGGAAUUGUAUGUUUAGUUCAAAGAUAAAUGAAUAAUUGAAUUUCUCAUCACCAAGUUACCUUUGUUCAAUUGUCAGAUAAAAUAUUUUAUUUGUUUCCUCCUAGUUAAGACCGGCAAAAUUAACCGCUGUUAUAUUAUUUUUACUUUUCCCCUUAUGAUAACUUUUCUUCUCUAAUAAUUUCUCUUCUCUGUUUUCCAGUGAUUCAUUGAUUCAUUGAGAGCCAGUUGUGCUAGAUGCUGGAGAAAGCAGGCUGAGUCAGAUAGGCAGGCUCUCUACCCUCAUAAUCUUAAACGUGAGAGAUGAGAGACAGUCACUCACUUAUAUAUUGAGAUGAAAUGAAGAUUUCUCAGGCAUCACUACUUAUUUGACUGACUCAUCGAGCACAUGUUCUAUGAUGAGGAACUAAUCCAGGAAGAUGGUUGUUCUGAUGAUACUGGUACAGAGUGAUAGUUUUCUGAACUACCAUGGUAGUUUCCUGAAUAAGGCUGUGAUGUAUCAUGCGGGAAAGGAAGUAUAAAUAUACCUCAUGUCAUCAUAAUCAACUUGAACCUGGGUUUUUGCUUCUGUGUAGAGCAGAAAGAGCAUCAGUGGUUGCUCUUCAGUGUGAGCUCUGCGAAAAGUCAGUCAUCAUAAAUGACUACCCUGAAACUGCCAUGCUGUGGAAAAGCCUAAGCCCAUGGAGAAGUCUUGGAAGAGGGACACCAAGUGCAAAAAGAUGUGAGCAUCAGAUUACCAGCACUGUGAGUAAAGAAGCCAACUUUGAAGUUGGGUGCUCCAGCCUCAGGUGCCAUGCCCACUUUGUGGGGAUCAGAGAUGAACACAUAGUCAAGCCCUUCUGGAGUUCCUGACUUACAAAUUUAUGAGCAAAAUAAAAUGAAAAUUCUAAGCUACUCA